rnacentral:rRNA from 2 species
CAAAAUGACUCUCGGCAACGGAUAUCUCGGCUCUCGCAUCGAUGAAGAACGUAGCGAAAUGCGAUACUUGGUGUGAAUUGCAGAAUCCCGUGAACCAUCGAGUCUUUGAACGCAAGUUGCGCCCAAAGCCAUUAGGCCGAGGGCACGCCUGCCUGGGUGUCACA